rnacentral:rRNA from 1 species
AUUGAACGCUGGCGGCGUGCCUAAUACAUGCAAGUCGAACGCAGUUGCGAACGGGUGAGUAACGCGUAGGUAACUGCCUCAUAGCGGGGGUUAACUAUUGGAAACGAUAUCUAAUACCGCCUACUGUUAGCUGGAUCUGCGUUGUAUUAGCUAGUUGGUGAGGUAAAGGGUCACCAAGGCGACGAUACAUAGCCGAGCUGAGAGGGAGAUCGGCCAAAAUGGGACUGAGGCACGGCCCAGACUCCUACGGGAGGGAGCAGUAGGGAAUCUUCGGAAAAGGACGGAAGUCUGACCGAGCAACGCCGGGGGAGUGAAGAAGGUUUUCGGAUCGGAAAGCUAUGUUGGUAGGGAAGCGGUAACUAAAGAAAAAGGGACGGCUAACUACGUGCCAGCAGCCGCGGUAAUAC